UACUCAGUAGCACAGAGGUAGAGCAGUCGACUGUUAGCGGACUGGUUGUAGGUUCGAAUCCUACUGGAGGAG
rfam:Corchorus olitorius cultivar O-4 contig21055, whole genome shotgun sequence.